rnacentral:rRNA from 1 species
UACAGAGGUGGCAAGCGUUGUUCGGAAUUACUGGGCGUAAAGGGCGCGUAGGCGGUCUUUUAGGUCUCGUGUGAAAUCCCUCGGCUCAACUGAGGAACUGCACGGGAUACUGGAUGACUUGAGUUCGGGAGAGGGAAGCGGAAUUCCGGGUGUAGCGGUGAAAUGCGUAGAUAUCCGGAGGAACACCGGUGGCGAAGGCGGCUUCCUGGACCGACACUGACGCUGAGGCGCGAAAGCUAGGGGAGCAAACGGG